AAUGAACGCUGGCGGCGCGCCUAAUACAUGCAAGUCGAGCGAGAAGACGUAGCAAUACGUUUGUAAAGCGGCGAACGGGUGAGGAAUACAUGGGUAACCUACCCUCGAGUGGGGAAUAACUAGCCGAAAGGUUAGCUAAUACCGCGUACGCUUCUUGGACUUCGGUUCAGGGAGGAAAGCGAUGCCGAGGGUAUCGCGCUCUUGGAUGGGCUCAUGUCCUAUCAGCUGUUGGUGAGGUAACGGCUCACCAAGGCUUCGACGGGUAGCUGGUCUGAGAGGACGAUCAGCCACACUGGCACUGCGACACGGGCCAGACUCCUACGGGAGCAGCAGUAAGGAAUAUUGCGCAAUGGGCGAAAGCCUGACGCAGCGACGCCGCGUGGGGGAUGAAGGUCUUCGGAUUGUAAACCCCUUUCGGGAGGGAAGA
rnacentral:rRNA from 1 species